rnacentral:lncRNA from 1 species
AGGACUAUAAUCUAAUGGUUUUUAGCAAGGCAGAAGGGCAAGGCCUACUAGAGCCAUGAUUGCCAUCCUCAGGCCUGCUAGAGCUCCUUCAAAAUCACUAUCAGCUUCGAUUGGUGUGUGUAAUGCUCGGGAGCUUAGAGUAUAUCUGGAAGGGAAACAGGAGCUGUUUUCAAGGAUUCACUUCCAUUUGUGCAUGACGACAACAAUGAUGACACUCUUCUCCAUUCAGCUAUGAUGCAGAUGAUGCCCCGCUCCCUAGUCUCACAGUAGCCAUGAAGCAGGUCAGCCCUGUAUGACGAUGGAGCCUGAGAGCUAAGAAGCCAGGCUGAAAAUUAAGCUUCUGUGAUCCAGUGCACUGCUUAUUGGCUUACCCUGUAGGAAAUGACUGGCAGACCCAGCAGCAAGUUGACAAACUGAAACUCUGGUCACCGGGAAAGUGCUCUUACGUGAACACAGCAAAGAGCAGAAAUCAGGAAAGAAGAAAACAGACAGAGAUACCCAUCGCAAAUGUGUCAGAUACCAAAAUGUGCCACUGUCACAUGAGUCCAAGCUAGGAUAUGAUGACCUCAUCUGAUACUGAUUGUAAAGAGGUGAUCACUCAAUAAUAGUAAGGCAUUGAUUAGAAAAACAAAUGAAACUGAGUGCCUGUCACAAACAGAUGAAAGUUGAUUUGUACACUAAAGAUGCAAUUGAAUAACCAAGGUUAUAAGUACAAUAAAAUAAAAAG